GUAGGUGGCAAGCGUUGUCCGGAAUUAUUGGGCGUAAAGCGCGCGCAGGGGGUCCUUUAAGUCUGAUGUGAAAGCCCACGGGCUCAACCGUGGAGGGUCAUUGGAAACUGGGGGACUUGAGUACAGAAGAGGAAAGCGGAAUUCCAAGUGUAGCGGUGAAAUGCGUAGAGAUUUGGAGGAACACCAGUGGCGAAGGCGGCUUUCUGGUCUGUAACUGACGCUGAGGCGCGAAAGCGUGGGGAGCAAACAGGAUUAGAUACCCUGGUAGUCCACGCCGCAAACGAUGAGUGCUAAGUGUUAGGGGGUUUCCGCCCCUUAGUGCUGCAGCUAACGCAUUAAGCACUCCGCCUGGGGAGUACGGCCGCAAAGGCUG
rnacentral:rRNA from 1 species